rnacentral:misc_RNA from 1 species
AUUGUCUCAUCUAAAGCCUUGAAUGUGGGAAAAAGGCCAUUGUUGUUCAGCCAAGGAUGACUUGCCGGUAGCUUGUAUUAUGAUUACUCUAUAUUCGAUUUAUAUUAUGGAGAUGAUGGUUUAUAUAUAUUUACUUAUCUACAUAGUUUUAGUUGAUUUUUUUUCGUACGUAAUAUAAUACGAAAAAGUAUUUACUUAUUUAUAUAUGUGUGUUGGGGCAAGAAGUGUAACCAAGCUAGCCCGGCAAGUCAUCUAUGGCUAUGCAACUGUCUCUUCCUCUCAUUCUAGGCUUACGAUGACACGUAAAAAA